rnacentral:rRNA from 1 species
UACGAAGGGGGCUAGCGUUGCUCGGAAUCACUGGGCGUAAAGGAUGCGUAGGCGGGUCUUUAAGUCAGGGGUGAAAUCCUGGAGCUCAACUCCAGAACUGCCUUUGAUACUGAGGAUCUUGAGUUCGGGAGAGGUGAGUGGAACUGCGAGUGUAGAGGUGAAAUUCGUAGAUAUUCGCAAGAACACCAGUGGCGAAGGCGGCCUGCUGGGCUGUUGCUGACGCUGAGGCGCGACAGCGUGGGGAGCAAACAGG